ensembl:snRNA U6 U6 spliceosomal RNA
UUGCUCCAGCAGCACCGACACCAAAAUUGGAACAGUGCAGAGAAGAAAACCACAGCCCCUGAACAAGAAAGACACCCAAGUUCAGGAAGCAAUCCCUACUUUU